GUUAACAUCUCCUUUCUCACUUGAACCUCAGGAAAGAAAGGCCAACACUGUAGGACCAAAGUGUCGUUACAGAUUUCUUCUCUUCUAUACAUCUUCCUGGUAUUGCAGUUGGAUUUUGGGUGGACGUGGAAAUAAACGCACGAAUUUAGUGUAUCACCUGGAUCCACAAUGUUUUCAAUUUUACAUUAACUAAUAUGGUUGAUUUUAUAUUAACUUGUAUCUUGUUAAUGCCAUAGAACUGU
rnacentral:lncRNA from 1 species